UACGGGGGGGGCAAGCGUUGUUCGGAAUUACUGGGCGUAAAGGGCUCGUAGGCGGCCAACUAAGUCAGACGUGAAAUCCCUCGGCUUAACCGGGGAACUGCGUCUGAUACUGGAUGGCUUGAGUUCGGGAGAGGGAUGUGGAAUUCCAGGUGUAGCGGUGAAAUGCGUAGAUAUCGGGAAGAACACCGAUGGCGAAGGCAGCCAUCUGGACCGACACUGACGCUGAGGCGCGAAAGCGUGGGGAGCAAACAGG
rnacentral:rRNA from 1 species